ACUCACUGUGGAGCGUAGGCCAUGCAGAGGCUCGCCAGGUAUCCGUUGGAGAAGGAGAACAGGGCCAUGAUGAUGACGAAGGCGCAGUCGUGACCGAAGAGGAUGGUGAAUCUGGAGUUCUCCACGUUACACGUCAUGAGCAGAGGGAUGAAAACGAGACGAGACAACACGGCGGCAGGAAACAGGACGCUCUCCUUGGAAGGCUGCACAGACAUCAGCGAUGAUUAAUCUGACAAAGCAAAACUGAAGAGGCAAAAUAAAUCGUCAGAGCAGGCAGCAGACUCACCCAUUGGACGAGAGACGGGGCGCUGCGGCCAACCAAGUCCAUGACGUUGAAGACGAUGAAGCAGCAAACGCAAGUGAACACUUUUUCUGUAAGAGACAGAGAGCAGGACUGACUUGAAACUCUUCCAAACUAUGAAGCCAAGUCAGACGUAGAAGAGUCGCAGACUUAACUACGACUCUGAUAUGGAUGUGAAUAUCCAUCACGCUUCAGAAACUACAGGAACACAGUAAAGAAUGUGAUGUCUCACUCCAGGCUGCGUUGUCCUGGUAGACGGUCUGCACUCGCACUGUGAUCACAGGAAAUACCGACAGGGUGACGGCAAACACACACGUCACACAUGCAGCCAUCAGCCAGAUCUGCGGGACACACAGGAAGCUCGCAUUUUCAACACGUGGGGGCGGCGCGCUGCACAGGAUGUGCUCACAUGCGCAGUAAUUAUAAUUCGAAUGAGGAAACAGAAAGAAGGAAUGUAAGGGACGACAUUUAGAAAUAGAUAAAAGAUAAAAAAGUUGCUCACCUUUUUGAAGACAGCCAGGACGGAGGAACGCUCCUGAUUCUCUCCUGCCUCGCUGAUGAACGUCACUUUGACCUCGAGCUCUUUAUCAUUGUUUUUUAGCACUUUUUUGUCUUUAAAAGGAAAGAAAUACAAAACGAAUUAGUGACUUGCUUCAUGAUAUGAUCACCCAAACUGACCUGGAGCCAGCUGCAGCAGUCUGCACGUUCAGACUUAGCCUCGUUCUGACCUAUGUGUUCAAUUAACGUAAGGCGGGUCGCCCUUCGUGAACUAGCUGGUCGACUUAGAGUGCUGCCUUUAUGAAGACCUUUGACUUAAGAACCGACCUGUGCUGCUGAGGAGCUCCUGUGACGUCUCCACUUUAUCAGACUGACUUCUGUUCAGGUGUGGCAGCAGCAGGUAACACAGCAGAGUCCCCAGUGUGGCCACGCAUGGAGUGAUGAAGUAUCCCAUCGCAGCCGAGCUUUUAUCUGCGUUACCUAGCAAAAGAGACACUUAAGCUUAUUCAUCUUCAUCAGCCAGGCCAGUGUUCUUAAACACAUUUGCAUAUAAAUUCUAUUAGAAAAACUUUCUAGCUGUAGUCAAUUGAUCGAUUAAUCUGCAAAUAAUUUGAUCAUUUCUUUGUGAAGUUCUUUCGUUUUUCACUAUUUUCCGACACUUUAUAGAUGAUUAAUUGUGAAUAUGAAUAGCAGAUUAAUUAAAGGUGAAAAUUGGGAUUAGUUGCAGUCUUAAAAAGAUGAAUUUGUAUUUUCUACCAGCAUAAAUAAUUAUCUGAGUUAUUGUUCCAGCUCUUCACUUCACCCAAGAGAUCAGUGUUCCACUGUUUAAAUACCAUAAACAACAAGCACAAAUGGAGAGGAGCAUCGCGACUGCAGCGAAGAUCCCGGCCAGACCCUGACCACUCAUGAACAGGGUGCUGUAACGAGGAGGAAACAGACCGACCACCCCGAACAGACUGCCUUGCAGCACUGCACUGCAGGCUGCGCACACACACGCACACACAGUCAUGUUUCCAUCAUUUUUAGGACAUUACAUAGACAUUCAUUUAAGUCACCAUAACCACCACUUGCCUAAACCUAACCCUUCCCCUAACCUCAGCUUACCCUAACUUUAAUCGAAGUCUUCACCCUAACCUAACAUUUAAUGAUUUACAUCAUGGGGUUUGCAUUUUGUCCCCAUACGGAAGGCGGGUCCCCACAAUGUGACUGUGUAAACAGAUAUAUGUCUGCAUAUAUACGCACACACACAGGCACACACA